rnacentral:rRNA from 1 species
AAAAGUAAUUAAGAGCGUAUGGCGGAUGCCUUGGCUCUCAGAGGCGAUGAAGGACGUGAUAAGCUGCGAUAAGCUGCGGGGAGGCGCAAACAACUCUCGAUCCGCAGAUUUCCGAAUGGGGAAACCCAAUGCCGUGAAGCGGCAUUAUCCUAUUUAUAGGAAGCAAACCCGGAGAAUUGAAACAUCUUAGUACCCGGAGGAAAAGAAAACAAUAGUGAUUCCCUUAGUAGUGGCGAUCGAACGGGGAAUAGCCCAAACCGAUAUUGUUUAGGCAAUGUCGGGGUUGUAGGACUGUAACAUGAAUAUUAAUUUUAAGUGGAAUUUUUCUGGAAAGCUGAACCAUAGAGGGUGAAAGUCCUGUACACGUAAAAAGUUAAUAGUCUAACAGUAUCCUGAGUAGCGCGGGACACGUGAAAUCCUGUGUGAAACUGCCGGGACCAUCCGGUAAGGCUAAAUACUCCUGAGAGACCGAUAGUGAACUAGUACCGUGAGGGAAAGGUGAAAAGCACCCUGAACAAGGGAGUGAAAUAGUACCUGAAACCAUACGCUUACAAACGGUUGGAGCCACGCUUUUGCGUGGUGACAGCGUGCCUUUUGCAUAAUGAGCCUACGAGUUACUCCUCACUAGCAAGGUUAAUCCGUUCAGCGGAGAAGCCGAAGCGAAAGCAAGUCUGAAUAGGGCGAUAUAGUUAGUGGGGGUAGACGCGAAACUUGGUGAUCUACCCAUGGCCAGGCUGAAGUACCGGUAACACGGUAUGGAGGGCCGAACCAGUAGACGUUGAAAAGUCUUUGGAUGAGCUGUGGGUAGGGGUGAAAGGCCAAUCAAACUGAGAAAUAGCUCGUACUCCCCGAAAUGCAUUUAGGUGCAGCCUCGUGGUGAGUCUUGUAGAGGUAGAGCUACUGAUAAGGCUAGAGGGCUUCAUCGCCUAUCAAACCUUGACAAACUCCGAAUGCUACAAGAUAUACACGGGAGUGAGGCGUUGGGUGCUAAGGUCCAAUGCCGAGAGGGAAACAACCCAGACCAUCAGCUAAGGUCCCUAAAUAUAUGUUAAGUUGAUCUAACGUAGUGCGAUUGCUUUGACAGCUAGGAUGUUGGCUUGGAAGCAGCCAUUCAUUUAAAGAGUGCGUAACAGCUCACUAGUCGAGCGAUCGUGCGUGGAUGAUAAUCGGGCAUAAACAUAUUACCGAAGCUAUGGACUCACGUCUUAGGACGUGAUUGGUAGGGGAGCAUUCCAGUUGUGUCGAAGCUGUGUCGUAAGGCAUGGUGGAACGACUGGAAAAGAAAAUGUAGGCAUAAGUAACGAUAAUGCGGGUGAGAAACCCGCACACCGAUAGACUAAGGUUUCCUGAUCAACGCUAAUCGGAUCAGGGUUAGUCGGGUCCUAAGGUGUAGCCGAACGGCGAAGCCGAUGGAUAACAGGUCAAUAUUCCUGUACCAGCGCAUAUUGCGAUGGGGUGACGAAAGAGUGAAAGGUCUGCGUACUGACGGAAUAGUACGUUAAAGGGUGUAGGUAUACAGAUGGGUUAAUAGCUCGACUGUGCUGAACCUGAUAGUACCGUGAGUCUUCGGACAAGCGGAUAAUGACCCUAAUCUGAUUUCCAAGAAAAACCUCUAAGCUUCAGAUAUGUGCUGCCCGUACCUCAAACCGACACAGGUAGUCAAGGAGAGAAUCCUGAGGUGCUCGAGUGAUUCAUGGCUAAGGAACUAGGCAAAAUAGUCCUGUAACUUCGGGAGAAAGGACGCCUACUUCGGUAGGCCGCAGAGAAAUGGCCCAGGCGACUGUUUAUCAAAAACACAAGGCUUUGCUAAAUCGAAAGAUGAUGUAUAAGGCCUGACACCUGCCCGGUGCCGGAAGGUUAAGAGGGGGGGUUAUCACACUUCGGUGUGAGAAGCUCUGAAUUGAAGCCCCGGUAAACGGCGGCCGUAACUAUAACGGUCCUAAGGUAGCGAAAUUCCUUGUCGGGUAAGUUCCGACCU